GGCGGCAGCUGCAUCUCAUCACCACAUAACUCAAACUGGUUAUACGCUUUAGGCAAUUUCUCGACAAGCUCUUGUAGUUUUCCAGAUUUCUCAUCGUCGCGAUCCAUCUCAAUAGCUUCCUACGCAUCAACAAACACGCAACGUGAAGAAAGAAAGAAUACGUUAAAAAGGGCGGUGCAGAUGAUCAAUGGGAUGGUGCAGGUUGAUGCAGUGCUCGACUUUUUCAUUCCGAAAAGUAUUCCGGCAACUACUUGUGUUAGUAUCAAAGAAAAGAUUGUGGCAUUGUGUGCAAGAGUCCAGUAACUUCCGUCUGUUUGGUAUUUCACAUAAUAAACAUUCAUGAUCUGCAAUCGAUCGAAAUAUUAUCAUACCAUCAUGUAGAGGGCGAGGUUCAUUACAGAACAUUAAACUAUUACGAAAACAAAAAGAACAAAGCUACAUCGUUUAACGUUUUUAUUUA